CCUGGGGAGUACGGCCGCAAGGUUAAAACUCAAAUGAAUUGACGGGGGCCCGCACAAGCGGUGGAGCAUGUGGUUUAAUUCGAUGCAACGCGAAGAACCUUACCUGGUCUUGACAUCCACAGAACUUAGCAGAGAUGCUUUGGUGCCUUCGGGAACUGUGAGACAGGUGCUGCAUGGCUGUCGUCAGCUCGUGUUGUGAAAUGUUGGGUUAAGUCCCGCAACGAGCGCAACCCUUAUCCUUUGUUGCCAGCGGUCCGGCCGGGAAC
rnacentral:rRNA from 1 species